AAGAGAUUGGAUUAAAAAAAUAAAAAUAAAAAUAUACAAAAUUUAUCUAAAUUAUAAAUUAUUAUAAAUUAAGCAUCUAGUUUUUUAAAAUUUUAAUUUUGUUAGCCAAUCCUUCAAUAUAUUUAAUUUAAGGCAGUCAAUAAUAUUUUUAUUUUAAAUUUUAAGCUAAUUUCGUUAACAAAUUUAUAAUUGCAAAAUUACAUAAAGUAUAUUAAUUAAAACUAUAAAGAUGAAUGAUGUAUUCAAAUUAUUUUAAAAAAAUAUUAUUUACUGAUUAAAUUGAAAUAAAUUAAAAAAAUAAAUAGUAAAAUUAAAAGAAUGAUAUAU
rnacentral:lncRNA from 1 species